rnacentral:lncRNA from 1 species
GUCUUCUGGUCAGGCUCCGUAGACGGGCACAUCGCGCACCACUCCCGAGCAUACUACUCGCCAAUGUCCAGUCUCUUGACAACAAGGUAGACGAAAUCCGAGCAAGGGUUGCCUUCCAGAGAGACAUCAGAGAUUGUAACGUUCUUUGUUUCACGGAAUCAUGGCUCACUCAGGAUACGUCUUCAGAGUCGGUACAGCCACCUGGCUUCUUCACGCAUCGCGCCGACAGAAACAAACCUCUCUCUGAUGCAGCAUCAACGGGUUGGGAGAUGGAAAGCUCAGGAGAAAGGAUGCAGCAGCCAAAUCCAGAGCCACUACAGUAGCAUCAAAUCCCACCAGGCUCCUCUGGGUUGACUUGCCCUGACCGAGUCUGCUACAGAAUCUAACUUUACAGAUUCAAACACCCAGAGACAGGACUCUCACAGGUGUCCGCACACAGGAAGUGAAUGCAGUAUGGAGGAACCGAGGUUGUGG